UACGUAGGCAGCAAGCGUUGUUCGGAGUUACUGGGCGUAAAGAGUGCGUAGGCGGUCCUGUAAGUUUGGUGUGAAAUCUCCCGGCUCAACUGGGAGGGUGCGCCGAAGACUGCAGGGCUUGAGUAUGGGAGAGGUAAGCGGAAUUCCUGGUGUAGCGGUGAAAUGCGUAGAUAUCAGGAGGAAUACCGGUGGCGAAAGCGACUCUCUGGACGGCAACUGACGCUGAGGCACGAAAGCGUGGGGAGCAAACAGG
rnacentral:rRNA from 1 species